rnacentral:rRNA from 1 species
GGAGGAAAGUAGGGGAUCGCAAGACCUUGCGCUUUUUGAGCGGCCGAUGCCUGAUUAGCUAGUUGGUAAGGUAAUGGCUUACCAAGGCAACGAUCAGUAGCUGGUCUGAGAGGACGACCAGCCACACUGGGACUGAGACACGGCCCAGACUCCUACGGGAGGCAGCAGUGGGGAAUUUUGGACAAUGGGCGAAAGCCUGAUCCAGCCAUGCCGCGUGAGUGAAGAAGGCCUUCGGGUUGUAAAGCUCUUUCGGUCGGGAAGAAAUAGUUGUGGCUAAUAUCCACAAUGAAUGACGGUACCGACAUAAGAAGCACCGGCUAACUACGUGCCAGCAGCCGCGGUAAUACGUAGGGUGCAAGCGUUAAUCGGAAUUAUUGGGCGUAAAGGGUGCGCAGGCGGUUGUAUAAGUCAGAUGUGAAGUCCCUGGGCUUAACCUAGGAAUUGCGUUUGAAACUACAAAGCUAG